CAAUAGAAUAGUCAUAUGAGCACUUAUUGGUUUUGUUGCAUUUGUUGCAAUGCUUUUCAGCCAAUAGCCAAAAAAAUUUUCAUGAAAGUUGGGUCACAUCCAGCUGACAAAGUGUUUUGAACUGUAUGUGAUUGUCAUGAGUAGUAUGUCCCCAUAUUGUUUAGCUUUGGCAGAAGGACCAUCUGAUGAAGACAAGUCGGGAGGACCAACUGUUGGACGAGUUACCCAAUUCAUUCCAGAGAUUGUCCUGUCUGAAGAUGAGUGCAAGGAAGCGAUGUCACUGAUGAAACAUUCGGCUGACGUGGACAUGGUCAUCAAAAAGAUGAAGCUGACGCUUGCCCAUCGGCAUAACAUGGUCCUGGACCCACAGCAGUCAAGCAACAUUCUAUCUUAUUUUCCUCGUUUUAAAGACAUCAAAGGCUUGGUUGAACAGGAUUUUGUUCUAAUGUUUGGAGAGGAUGAAUCGGGCAAGUUUGUGGAGAAGUGGCCAACCACAUUCAAAAAGAAGAUCAUCCAACAAUGCAGAAAGCUUCCCUCCAUCACUGAGCUUGAGGAACUCCUGAUGGCAGCUGACCUUCCUGAGGAUGGGGGCUGAAGUGAACGUUGACUUUGGUUGGGACAGUGACCUCUCAUCCAUUUUGCUGCUCUUACACUUGAUCCCACCGACUGCUCUAGGUCGGAAGAGGCCAGGAAAAGUUUCUGCAUCCCGGGCUGAGAAGCAUCUUGUGGUCUUCAAGAAGCAUGGCCCAAAACCGGUCAAUCCUUGCUUCCUGAGGAAGACCUUCACUGCCAAGCACUUGGUACUCCACUACUUCUUCCCGGAGGCUAUCCAGGUCCAAUCGCAGCUGCGGCUUGGAACUUACAAGCGUAUUUCUUCAUCUUACUUAAUGUCGAAUAAAUUAUGUUUU